rnacentral:lncRNA from 1 species
CGGAUAUUUAGAGUAUUAUACAUCUCUAAUCUGCAUAUUUGAGACCAACAUGAUAAUGUUCCAUACUUCUUAAGCCAUUUUGGUGCCACCUAUUGUACCAUCAUUUUUUGCUUCAGGUAUUGUCCUCAUUUCCAAACAAUUCCAUUGUCUUCGCUUCUCUACUCACAUGUGUUUUUUAGUCUUCCUCUCACUCUUUUGAGCUUCUACAGAACUGAUGUCUGACUGCUAUGUUUACCCUUCUGAAUAAUACCCUUGUCAAGUUUUCAGCUUUUAAUGUAAAACUGUAACCAAUUACCGAAAUUUUGGAGUUCUUUUUCACCUUUUCUUGUCCGGUUGUGGAUAAAAAAAACUUAUGCUGAAUCAUUGCGUCUCCAGACGAGCAGUGCAGAUUUGAGAGUUAGGUUAUUUGUCAAAAGUUUUCCGUUUUAUCCAUACAAUAGUAAAAUUAGUUUUACAUAAUUUGAAUGUGUGCUCGCAUGAGCUUGUAAACUUCUCUCGUGUGUCCACACAAGGGCGGAAGGAAGAUUCUUUCUGUGAAGAAACCUAUUUUGUAUGAAGUUGUAGUUGAUUUUGUCGGACUGGGAAGUGAUGGAUGCACCAAGUAGGUGGUCUUUAUUUCUGGGAUUAGAAUUUUCAAAAGGACUGUUUCUUCUCACCUUGAUCUUGUGAUCUAAUGAAAUUUAUUCCUGAUUUUUAUCAGGGACACAACAGUGAAGAUGUUUUUGAAUUUCGUGUUGUAGCUAAAUGGUGAAGUUUUCAUGAAUUCAUGUUAUGAAUUGGUUCUCACUUUUUUUAUCAUAACCUUUUAUUAUCUCAUGAUUUAUUGAUUUUUUUUUGUUUUUUCUAUUGAUAUUUCUGUUUGCAAAACGAUUAUUAGAUAUUGGAGAAUUAACGAGGUAUGGCUACUGCCAAGCAUGCUUUCAGAAGUACACGAUUCAAGAGAUUUUCUAUUUUGGCAGAAGUUGGUGUGCCUACUGACAAGUGUGCUCUGAAAAUUAGUCAAUUACUGCACCAGCUGGACUUAUAGAUCGGUUCACAAGGUUCUUUCUGGACAGUAGUAAUGGUUUUAAUACAUUUAAAACAUGUAUGGUUAUUUGAUUCAUGAACAAAACAAAUAUAUUCUCUUUUGAGCUUUGGGCAUUUCACAUAUGACCAUUGUACUGUUGCACUAUUACUACGACCUAUGUGAAAGGUAAAUAAACCUUUCAGCAACAUAUGUUGGUAUAAUUCUCUCCCAACUAGCAUUAUAUGCCAUAUAUAGUUGUUUUUUUU